GGUGCAACUCCCAUACAAAGGAAAAUAACAUACAACUAGCGUCAUCUUACUCCUGUGGCGACGUCAUUUUUGUAACGUUUAGGCAUUAAUGAUCUAAUAAACUCACUAGAUGGCAGAUAUGAGUUCUGACUCAAUAAAAAAUGCUAUCGUUGGUAGAAGUUGGAAUUAUUUCAGAAACAAAAAAAAUAUAUGUUAGAAACAUAAACCGUACUUAUCAAUAUUUUUUAUUUUUAACAAAAAUCCAACAUGUCUUAUGUUACAUUAAAUGAUAUUUCUGUUAGGAAAAUAAACAGUAUCAUGGAAAUAAACUGCUACUAAAACCAAAUUUUAGAAAUAUUUUACUUUGGAUUGGCAACUUUGUAGUAGUUUGUAGUUUUCAAAAUGGCGUACCUGACGCUUUAAUUUUUUAAAUCGUUUUUGGUUUGGUCUCGGUUUGUGAGCUAUUUUACGAUUUAGUAUCAAUUUGGAGCAACUUUUAGUUUGUGAGAAUAUUAGACGAUUAGGCAUUAAGAAACUGUUUCGAAUUCUCUUUAGACAUAACUUGGCUCCAAUACUUUUUCUUCGAUAAAGUUUCGUAUGCCUGUGUACAUAGAUUAUACACUUAAUAUAAUUGAGAGAUUUAAUAAAGACAAAGACAACACUAAUCCAAUGAAAAUCUUUACAAAGUUUUUCAAUCAGAAGUCUAAUGACAUUCUCAAAAUAGAUUAUUCUAUUGAUACUGAGCAAUUUAUAUUAGUGGUGGGUCAAUUAAAAAGUAGCGAUUGUUUGAUUUAUGCUGAAUUAAAGAAAUAUGUAUCAGGAUAUAUUAUAAAAAAAUGUUAAUCAAAGAUUUUUACUGGAUGUACCGCCUGCAUGCAUGAUUUAGCUGAAAACAAUUUAGACAUUAAUUCUUUUAUCUAUGAGAUUAUAUUAUUAUUAUAACAAAAAAUAUAGAAAAUAAAUGAUUUUGUUAAAUUAACUUGGUUAGUAUAAUUAUAAAUCAUUUUGAUUUCUUGGUGGUAAAAUAGAAUAUUUUUACUAUACAAGAAUACUGCAACUUCUGACUGGAAUAUAAAUGGUUGAGGUAGGGUAUAUUGUAAAGUUAUACCGAUGUGUAUCACCAUCUUGCUUAUUUCUGUCGGGAAGCAGUCAUGGUUUCCUAUUUAAAUAAAAUACAGCACAAUUGAUCUCACAUCCAAAGUUAGAUGAUGGCAUUCACGUUUUGUUUUCUGGUGUUUGAUAACCUAGUUACACCAAAUGGCCUGUGACCACGUUCAUCCUUCUACCAUAUAUAUAUAUAUAAAUUUUUUUGUAGACAAAUGUUCGAUAAUGACAAAAUUUUAUGGAAAAAUUAUAAGGAGCACAUAAAAUGUCUGAAACAUGAAAAUUAAGAUUGAUGCACUAUAUUUGAAGCAGAAGGUUAUAAGAAGAACUGAUUCAGCAAGGAAUGUGAACUCACAAGGGAUCUUAAUUUUUUUUUAAAUAUGUUUAUAAUUUAUAAAUUAAUAAUUGAAAUAGUUCAUAUGAACUAAAUUGAUACCAAUUUUGUUUUAAAAUAGGUUGUUUAGUUCUUAUAGUUAUAGUAUAUUACAUUUGAAUAGUUGUUGUAAUUAGUAAGUUAGUAAUAUAUGAAAACACUGAUAUAAAUUUUUGUAAAUAACCUUUUGUAAAUUCUACGAGAAGAUGAUUUUAAUUAAUGGUAAUUCAAAAGCAUUAUUGUGGAAUAUAUUAGCUAAGUCGUGUUUUCUGUAUGAGCAGAUAUAAACGAAAAUGCCCAAACAUGAUUACGUUUCUUACAUUUUCAUUCUGUGAAAUCAAUAUGCUUGUGACUGAAUAUAUUAAAAAUAUAUUAAAACUUAAGUGAUAGACAGCGACCCCUAUGGCACCGCUAAAGUUUAUAAGCACUGGUGACCACUUAUCACGAGCCGGUCUGCGUACUCAUCUGCCGUUGAGGGCAAUAAAAGUUUUCGAAGCCCUUUCUUAGAUGUAAUAUUAAUGUACAUUUAAUUUGGAUUAAAAGAUAAAUUUACAUUUUAUGUUUGCAUGUGUAUGGUUAUAAUUCAUUUGCAUGUAACGAACAUCAGUUUCUUUUGUAACAAAAUUCAAAGUAAUGGUUUGCAAUGAAUGUAAUUAACUUUAAGAUGAUUUUCUUUCAAUCUGCUGUUUGUUUCAUCUAGUAUUACCAAAGCUAAAGCGUCAAAAACGUCAGAAUAGAAAUAAAUUAGAAGGGAAAUAAAACUAUAACUAUUGUAAUCAUGUCUAAGAUUUCUAUAAGCGUCAUUAAGUACAAACUAUCAAUAUUUAAGAGUACUUUAAAUCAUCAUUACAAUUUUUCCACAUUUUUUUUUUUUCAAAUUAUGUAAAAAACGUUUUGUGCAGAAUAAAAUGUCACAUAUUAUGAACAAUUGUGGGUUAAUUGUUUCUUAAAUGUGUAAAUAUUUAUAAGAGUGCUAAGAAUAAUUUAGUAUUCACUUUAGUGUGUGUAUUAUCUCUACAAUUCUAGUUUAAAUGACAAUUAUUGUAUGUCGAAGCAUAGGUAGUGUUUAUAGAUGUAAGAUUUUCGUACAAGGUCAUGAUCUGUCAUGAUCAACUUUAAGCAAGAACUGCUAUCAUUGUGAAACAAAUUUAUUAAAUUUAAUUCAAAUUGUCUACUAUGUUUGUAAUGGAAAGCUGACAUGUUUAUAUUUCGCACGAAUGACUUAAUUGAGAUGGAAUGAUUUGAUUAUCUAGACUUAUUUAACUUUUAGUUAACUUUCGAUUUAAUGUUAUUAAGUACUCUAGUAGGAUUAAUCUAGAGGAAUUAUUGUUAUUCGAAAUUUUAUACAAUUGUACGUUCAUACUAUCUUUUAACAGUAAAUUGUUUAUAUUAUAGGGAAAUUAAAUAGCUUACAGAGAA